CAUUGAAUAACCAAAGGUUAAGGUGUUAGAUUUUUAAUCUAAAAGUAAUAUUAUAAUAUUUUCAAUGA
rnacentral:tRNA from 1 species